rnacentral:rRNA from 1 species
GGAGGAAUAUUGGUCAAUGGGCGAGAGCCUGAACCAGCCAUCCCGCGUGCAGGAUGACGGCCCUAUGGGUUGUAAACUGCUUUUCUGCUCCAAGAAACCCUGUUACGUGUAACAGGUUGACGGUAGAGUAGGAAUAAGCAUCGGCUAACUCCGUGCCAGCAGCCGCGGUAAUACGGAGGAUGCAAGCGUUAUCCGGAUUCAUUGGGUUUAAAGGGUGCGCAGGUGGGAAUGUAAGUCAGUGGUGAAAUAC